UCCGCCCGCACCGCCCAGCAACCCCGAGGCCCACAGGCAGCCCCCGCCUUGCCGCCGGCGUCACUAUGUCAUGGAAACCGAAGCCGCGGAGACCCGCAGUGCGACUCGUUGGCGUUCUGCCCUGACCCCUGGGUGCCGGAACCCUAACGCCUUCUCCACACUUUCUUGCACAUACACAUGUGGGCUCCCGGCUGCCGGCCGGAGGAGCGCAGGGAACUAGUCAGCUCCUGCGCGCCGCCGGCCUCCGCAGGUCUCUCCCAGGCCCCGACGCAGGGCGGGGCAGAGGAUGGAGAAGGCGGUUCUGUGACCUAGCGGGCGGGCUCCGCGGGCUCGACUCGGCUUCGCGCUCCUCCUGCGGACCCGGCACUUCCCGGCGGAAGCCGACCGGUACUCGGUAGGAUUCUGGCACCCCCGAAAGCGCCAAGAGCCGUGUGGCACCGGGUCCUCACUUCCUCCACCCGGACUCCCAGGCGCCUCCCAGCCUGCUGCGCUGCGUGAGACCUGAGGGGGAGGGGGCCCAUCCAGCCCUGCUGUCCUCACCCUCCUCCCCUCCCCCGCAUCUGUCCCGGUUCUCGCCGCCAGCGCUCUCGACCCAACCGCCCCUUUCUGGAAUCUAUAGUGGCCCCAGUCCCGGGUGGCUCGCCUCCGCCCCUGCCCCAGCUGGGCUCCUUCUCAUGCAAAGCAGAGGGGUCACGGUGGAGUGUGGGGCGGUCAGUGGGACCUACCAGACGACAGCUGGACCCAACUGCCGGCCCUUCCCCAACGCAAAGCCUGUCACAUCCCUCUGGUGGGCAGGAGGAGGUUGCUCCAUCCAUUUGGGGAGCAAGAACCUUGGGACCUAGGUGUAGGGGAAAGAAGGCCCCUCUCCACAGAAGGACCAGCGAGGCAGGGGAGUUGAAGGUGAGGACAGGACGGUCGCUCUAGGGCGUCAGGCUCUGUUCUUCCUGGUGUCCAGAUGGCUCAGUAAACAGGUCCGCAGGAGCCAACCCUGGCGUCUACAAUGGGGGUCGGGAGCGCAACUCAAAGUGCGCCUCUUGGCUCCAGAUUCUAGGUUUGGAGUCCAGACUUAACUCCUCCACGGGGACAGCACAUUAGACUAAUGGUGGGUUUUGUUUUGUUUUCGUUUCCAUUGAGCUUUUGUUUUAAAACAUAAUCGGUCGCAGGGACAUGGAGAGAAAACUGACCAGGCUUUCUAAAUUCACCUUCUCCGAAGCCUUUCAGCUCAGCUCUGCAUUUAAGCCAGUGUCCGUUCAGCGAAGAGCGCCAACCUUCCCUCCUCACCUUCCAGGCCACACUUAUUGUCUGCAUCCUCAACUACGCAAGCGCUUUCCUACCCAACGUCCUCCACAGACCCACAGCCACUUACACCGCCCAGGACCUGUACAUUCUGGACCAGGAUCCGUGGGGAUCAUUUUCGCUGAUAGCUCGGUGACUGCAGAAUCCUUUCCACCCUCCUCCCAGUCACCCCCAGAUAUGGCCCCAGAGGGCCUAGGAGGUGACUUUCACAGUCCAGGUUUCUUUUCUUGAGAAGCUCCUUGACGAUCAGCACCAGAUCUCCCCAGAUGCCUUGCAGUUUGGGAAGCCUGAAGGUGCCCCUCUCAAACUUCCAUCCCCCUUCCUUCCCCAUGAGGUUCCAGAAUGAUGCUCGGCCCAUGGACAGAGCCUGCCCAGUCACCCCCCUGGCCAUUUCCCUCCUGUCCCUUCUGCUCCAGGACAGCCCAAGGAGCAGAAAAGAGUGAUAAGGCCGUGAAAGGAGGCACCUGGGGCGGAGCCGGCUCUAGGAGGUUACCCCAUGCGGAGUACACACUCAGCUACACCCGUUCCGGAAGAGGGAGGAAAGAGCACCCCUGGACUCUGCCGGUCCCAGAGGCCACGCAAACUCCGCCCAGACUCGGAGACAGCCCCUGGCACCAGGCUCUGGAGAGCCCGCUUCCUGACUCCAGCGGUGCGAAGAUGAUACAAUACUUUCGGGUGCUGACAUUCAGCUGUCCCCCAAACAGGUUGGCUGAUAGCUUUGCUGGUCCUUGGAGAGGGGCCGGGGGCUGUCUAAAACGACAGUUCUGAUGACUGCUUCGUUGCUGGUGGCAGAGGAUUUGGGGCACAGGAGUGGAGUUAAGUCCAAUUGCAGUUUCAACUGGACUUGGCCUCCUUUAUUUUACAGUCCUAACGGGUCUCCAUAGGAGAAAAAGUAGAGAGAGAAACGUAGAACGCAGGAAAGCAAGCAUAGGGAAGAGUUUCUUGUCUCAAUCUUGGUACUGCCGUGCCAAAAUGAAGCCCAGGGAUGGUUAAAAACAGAUCCUACGGGCCGGGCACCUUGGCUCAGGCCUGUAAUCCCAGCACUUUGGGAGACCGAGAUGGGAGGAUUGCUUGAGGUUAGGAGUUCGAGACCUGCCUGGCCAGCAUAGUGAGACCUCAUCUCCAAAAAUAAAAACUUAAAAAAAAAUUUUUAAAAACCAAACCAAAAAUACAGAUCCUAGGGAACAGACCUUUGAGGUUCCCUAAGGGAUCUUGGCCUGACUCUCGGGAGAUGAAGAAGUCCUUGGCAAGUUUGAAAAGACCUACAAGUGCCAUCUAUUCAGGGGACUAAAUGUGAUUUCACUGCCCAGUGGCGGUUAAGGAAGGAAGCAUUUUGCAUUUUCAGCUUGUAGGUUGGUCAUUGGUGGUCCUACCAUCUUGCUCAUGUUCAAGUUUGGUCUUGUAGAUGAAGCCCCCAGCUUCCCACCUCUUAGUUUUUCUUUUCCCUCAGGCCAUUCAUAAUUUAGCUAACAUUCUAGUCCAUCGGCCAGCACGCACUUUGAAAGGUGAGCUGGCAAGCCUGUAACUGUGUGCAAGGUUGUUCUCAUUUAGGCUCCAGGAAGGAUAUAGUUUCCCCAUAAGAAAGAAAAGUGAGUGAGAGGCUGAGGUGGGAGGUCACUUGAGUCCAGGAGGCAAAGGUUGCAGUGAGCUGAGAACCAUGCCACUCACUGCAUUCCAGCUUGGGUGACAGAGUGAGACCCCAUCUCAAAAAAAAAAAAAAAAAAGAAAGAGAAAGAAAGAAAGAAAGAAAGAAAGAAAGAAAGAAAAGCAAGUUAAAAGCAAGGAACCAUUUCUAUGAAUCUUUUAAUGAAGGAUUUACCAAUCUGAUAAGUACGAAGCUCCUUUUCCUCCUUCUGAAUAAGUAAGUAUGUCAGUCAACGCUGAGGGUCUGCAGAAUCCAUAAAAAAUGCUUUCUUUGGUCUCUCAGUUUUAACACAUGCUGGGGCUUGGGCCUGCCUCUGACAGACUGGGGAGGAGUAGACACAUUCCAGAGACCAGGUCUUGGAGUGUUAUCUCUUCCCCCACCUCAAAUCCUCACCCUCCACUUUAUCUGUCUUUAGCAUGAAUGCAGAGACCUCCUAGGGAAGUGUGAAGGGAUGGGUUUUCGUCAGGUUUGGGAAAGGAAGGGGAACAAGAGGAGCCCCAAAGAAAGAGGGGGGUCACUUGGAAUUUUUAGAUGACACUGUUUUGUUAUACUUCUCGUGUGUUGUGUAUUAUGUCCUACAAAUCGCGCAUUUGUUACAGUCAGCCAGUGUGUAUGUGUAUUUGCCAAGUGCUGCUUGGCCAAAACAGUGUUAAAUAAAAUUGUAAGAAAUGCUA